CCUAACACUGGAAGUAAGACAGCCUGCAGAGCUUUCAUGUUUCCUUCUCCUAAAUACUAAUCAGUCACAGCUGCAAGCCAUUAAAACCAAACACUGAGGGAGUGGCUGCACUAUGCUGACAUCCCUACACUGAUCCAAAUUUUGGGGAUUCUGCAGUUCUAAUGAGUUCACACCUCAUUUUCAUCUUCACCAUGAUGACAACUCUGAAUUUACAUCAUAAAAAAGGCAACCAUAUAGCUAGGCAAACUGAUGGUGAGGAGACUUGUUCAUGUGGAGAAGAAUGAAGAUACGCUAUUACUUUUGGAUAAAUCUGCACAGAGGAGUAUUUAACUUUAGAAGGGUCAUCCAGCUUACAGAGGAGACUCUCAUCUGUAGAUGCUGCAGCAGAGAGGGCUGUGAAUAUUGAAGCCCACAGUAACAGACUGCUGAAGCUGCCCUGACAGGCUGACUGUGUAUGGGGCAGUACAACUUCUGUGAGGGCUUCUUAUUUCAGGAGUUGCAGGAAGUACUCCAUACAUCUGCUUUUGAUAUCCUGUGAACUAGUGUUGCUGGAUACCCCCCCCCGAAUGUUGAUUCUUAACCAUGAUGUACUACACUGUGAUCUUGUCAGAAAUGCAAUGCAAUACUGCUCAAACCCAGAUACAUAAUACAUCCAGUUUCUGCAUGGCAUCAAGGAGCAGCCUUGUCUCUGAGUUUCUGUUCUUUGCUAUCCAUCCAUCACAAAUAGAACUGUGGAUGCACUGUGCUAGCCAGAAUGGGCUCUUCACACUCCAGAAGAUGAUUAAACUGAGCCUCAGUGCCUUUAAGCAGAACAUCAACUAUUGGCACAACAAGCUUCACAGACUGCUUGACUUUGGACAAUUUUUUUUUCAGGCACAUAAUGGUGGGGAUAAGGAUUCCCAUGAAACUUUUCAGCUUUGACUGCAGGAUGCCCAGAACCAUUACCACGGGCUGGAUUGCUUGAACAAACUCAGCAACAAAGGUAAUAUCUGCAGGCCUGAAGAUGGCAAUUCCAGUCCAUUCACAUAUCUCAUUCAGCAAGCCUUCACCCUGAGUUGCAAUGAUGUGAAUUCUCUCCAUCGAGUAGAAAGUGGAAUUCCAUCAUGUCACAUUAGGAAUAAUCAAUGCUAGAUCACACUUAUUUCAAGCCACCUCAGCAGCUUGGGUGCUACGACUAGCCUUGUUCCAAGCAGCAUAGCAUUUGGCCAUGGUGCUUCACAUGAUCUUUUUAUACUGUGCAUCAUUACAAGCAGAUUCAACAUCGUACAUGGCAAUUAGAUUCAAUGCAUGUGCUUCACAUCUCAGAUGGGAAAGCAGUGAAUAGGUGUUCUCGCUUUGCCUUGACAGACUCAGCAUGGCUGUCAUGGUGUUGUAAAUCACUUCACCAUCAUCAUCCUCAUUUUGGGACAGAAUGCCUGUAGUCUCAGAUCUCUCACAUUCUGAGAAGACAUUGAAAGCCUUUACAAAAUUGCUGCCAUGGUCAGUAAUUGUCGCACACAACUUUUGAUCUAUCUUGUACUUGAUGUGAAUGCUGUCAAGAGCUGAUGCUAUGAGAUUAUAUAUAUGCCUCUUCUGUGAUCUGCAGCAUGACAAAGCAGCUGACUUUCUUUGAAGUGUAUCACAGUUGAUCCAGUGGGUUGUGAUGCCAAAGAAACUACAAUUCUGAUGUGUCCAAAUAUCAGCCAUAGUGCAAACAGUUGAAAUGCUAAGGUUUCCAUCAGAUUCUCUUUUAUAUCAAUGAACUGUUUCUCCACUCAUUCAUUGUAUAGUCAUUGUGAAUAGCUAAAUAAAGUGAUAUUUUGGUUGCCUUUGUUAGACCUGUAUGACAUUUUCUGUAAGCAUUUUUGCAUCUUUUGCU